UUUGUUUUUGUUUUUGGGUACCAGGGAUUGAACUGAGGACCUUGUGCUUUCGAGGCAGGCACCGGAACCACUGAGCUAAAUCCCCAGCCCCUUCAUUUUAUAGGGAACAGGGAAAGGGGACAUUACUACAACCUCUGCAGUAAAUCCUAGUCUCCUGCGAGCCACGACAGCGCAAGGCGAAUUACAGGAAAGGUAGAAAAAUGAGACCGAGAAGAAGCUGAGCUUUGGGUUUGAUCAGUGCUGCUCUGAGCGGCAAAGCUGAAAGCCCCCAGCUUACCGUACAUCGGGAGAAACAAAUGUAACAAAUGACUUGCAGAGAGUUCAGUACAUCCGCGUAAACAAGACGUAACAAUCCAAGAACAAUGAGGAACUGAGUAGAUGAAGACUUUGUUCCUCCCAGGAUGUCUUCAGCUGGUGUAAUCUUGUCCUGGAGAAUCACAGCAUCACCGGAUCAUUGAGGUCUCAGUGGUGACCGGAGGCCAAAAUGGAAUUAUGUCUCGCAAUUCCAUAGUUGGGCUGUAGGCAGGAGAAGUAGGCUAACCAAAUGAUUUUCCCCUAAAAUUAUGUAGCAUUGGUCCUGACAGCCCCUCACUUUUUCACAGUUUCCCUUUUUCACAGUUUCUUCCUAUUUCAUAUUAUCUAUUAUACAUUUUUUUAAAAGAGGUUCCAGAUUGUCUUGUCUCUUCGUUGUGUUUGG
rnacentral:lncRNA from 1 species